rnacentral:rRNA from 1 species
UACGGGGGGGGCAAGCGUUGUUCGGAAUUACUGGGCGUAAAGGGCUCGUAGGUGGUCAACUAAGUCGGACGUGAAAUCCCUCGGCUUAACCGGGGAACUGCGUCCGAUACUGGAUGACUUGAGUUCGGGAGAGGGAUGCGGAAUUCCAGGUGUAGCGGUGAAAUGCGCAGAUAUCAGGAGGAACACCGGUGGCGAAGGCGGGUCUCUGGACAGUUCCUGACGCUGAGGCACGAAGGCCAGGGGAGCAAACAGG